rnacentral:tRNA from 1 species
GAGGUUGUGGCUCAGCAGUAGAGCACUCACUUUGUACAUGAGAGAGAUCCUGGGUUCAAUCCUCAGCACCACA